GGUUAACAUUUUAAACAAUGAGGAAACAUAAGGAAGGGCCAGGAAGGCGGUCACUGCAUGAGUGCUGUGCGGGAGCGCUGGUUCCUCCAGGAAAAUGGGAGCCAUUGAAGAUUGGUGGCGUUAUCAAAGCACUGUCUUAGGAAAACUGAUGUCGUAACUGUGUGCGUUCAGACUGCAGUUAGGAGAGUCUACAGGUCGGGAGUCGAGCAUCACCGGGAGCCAGUCACCACAGAACCGUCGUCGUAAACCACCUGGCACAGUGUGCGGCCGCGGCACAAGGGAUAAUUAGGCCUGGUGGGUCCUUCAAGAAAGGCUUCUUUUAUUGUUGUUGCUGUUUUGGUUUGUUUUUUGUUUUCAUGAGGAAAAUUGUCACUGAGUUAAGAUCUGUGCCAACCCUUCCUCUAUUUUAUGUGGGACACCACCGCCACAGCACGGCUGGAUGAGUGGUGCUUGGUCUGUGUCCAGAACCUGCAACCUACAGGGGUUGAACCUGCAACCCCUGGGCUGCUGAAGCAGAGCAAACUUAACCACUAUGCACUGGGCCGGCCCCAGAGGAAAGGCUUCUUGAAGACGAUCACUGUAAGGCAAGAAAAUAUUUCAAGUGGGACCAACAAGAUGUGCAAAAGUAGGCAAGUGAAGAAUCUCAUCAAGCCUAGGAGGUUUCCACUGCUGGGGCUCAGACGUGUGGGGUGUGGCUGGCAGGUAGACAGACGUGCGUCUGGGUAGGUGUGGGGGGACAUGGAAUGAAUCCCUCCGGGAAUUAAUGCAUUUUAAGAGAAGGGGACAAGCAGUAAGAGCCCAGGCAGCAACAGAGCAUAGGCCUCUCGGGGAAAGAUGAUUCCAACCCCAGCAUAGUGACUGGCACUCAGAUUGCAUCCCCAUCCAGCCCAAACACACUCAAAAAAGUGACAAGUCUAAAAGUCCAAAAAUGUGGCACAACAUUGGAACCCCAGAAGCACAGCUUUCAACAACCCUCCUCCGACAAAAGAGUAUGAUGCAAAGGGAAGAGAGACAUCCUCCAUCUUAUCCAGACACACAAGCUGUGCAAAAUGAAGGCUCUAGCAUAUUAGGGUUGUGAUAGGCCAAACGCGCCCGGAUUUUGAGAGAGACCCCCAUGAAAAUACUCUGUAAGAUGCUAUAUCAUAUUUCAAACUCUGCAUGAUCUAUAAUGGAGGAUACAUGUCAUUAUACAUUUGUCCAAACCCAUAGAAUGCACAACAUAAGGAGUGAGCCCUGGAGUGAACUAUGGACUUUGGGGAAUAAUGAUGUGUCAAGGUUUUCCUGAGCUCACCUCAGCACCAGUAACCACUUAUAUUAUUACCUCUAUGGGAAAACGCCUUCCACUCUGCAAACAGUUGACCUACAAACAAACUCUUGGGACAGACUCCUUUGCAGCCACAGGAGCUUACUGACAGAACUGCGGGAAGAGCAGGAAGGAGUCUGAUGGCAAGGGGCUAAAGAUGAUGGCUUCAAGGAGUCGGGCAGUGAAAGAAGAGUGAGCAGCAACCCAGGCUAUUAAACUGACAACUUUUAAGUGAGUGAACAUAUUUUCCAGAUAUGUUCUAAAGUGUCUAAUUUCUUAUUAAUUUCCCCGUACUCUGAUCUUUGGAACCCUCUAGUGGCCAUAUCAGGACGUGUGUUCUGGGUGAGACGAAUAAAAUGAUUUUCAUUUUCAAAUUCACUUAAAAUAUAAAGAUAUUAUAUAUAUAUCAUAAAAUAUAAAGAGC